rnacentral:rRNA from 1 species
UGCCAGCAGCCGCGGUAAUACGGAGGGUGCAAGCGUUGUUCGGAAUUACUGGGCGUAAAGCGCGCGUAGGCGGCUAUUUAAGUCAGAUGUGAAAGUCCACGGCUCAACCGUGGAAGUGCAUUUGAAACUGGGUAGCUUGAGUAUUGGAGGGGGUAGUGGAAUUCCCGGUGUAGAGGUGAAAUUCGUAGAUAUCGGGAGGAAUACCGGUGGCGAAGGCGACUACCUGGCCAAAUACUGACGCUGAAGUACGAAAGUGUGGGGAGCAAACAGGAUUAGAUU